rnacentral:rRNA from 1 species
UACGUAGGGGGCAAGCGUUGUCCGGAAUUAUUGGGCGUAAAGAGCGUGUAGGCGGUCCGGUAAGUCAGCUGUGAAAGUCAAGGGCUCAACCCUUGAAUGCCGGUUGAUACUGUCGGGCUAGAGUCCGGAAGAGGCGAGUGGAAUUCCCGGUGUAGCGGUGAAAUGCGCGGAUAUCGGGAGGAACACCAAUGGCGAAGGCAGCUCGCUGAGACGGUACUGACGCUGAGACGCGAAAGCGUGGGGAGCAAACAGG